GACGAACGCUGGCGGCGUGCUUAACACAUGCAAGUCGAACGGUGAUGCUCCAGCUUGCUGGCGUGGAUCAGUGGCGAACGGGUGAGUAACACGUGAGCAACCUGCCCCAGACUCUGGAAUAAGCGCUGGAAACGGCGUCUAAUACUGGAUACGAAACUGGCCCGCAUGGGCAUGGUUUGGAAAGUUUUUCGGUUUGGGAUGGGCUCGCGGCCUAUCAGCUUGUUGGUGAGGUAAUGGCUCACCAAGGCGACGACGGGUAGCCGGCCUGAGAGGGCGACCGGCCACACUGGGACUGAGACACGGCCCAGACUCCUACGGGAGGCAGCAGUGGGGAAUAUUGCACAAUGGGCGAAAGCCUGAUGUAGCGACGCCGCGUGAGGGAUGACGGCCUUCGGGUUGUAAACCUCUUUCAGCAGGGAAGAAGCGAAAGUGACGGUACCUGCAGAAGAAGCACCGGCUAACUACGUG
rnacentral:rRNA from 1 species